rnacentral:rRNA from 1 species
AGAGUUUGAUCCUGGCUCAGAUUGAACGCUGGCGGUAUGCUUAACACAUGCAAGUCGAACGGUAACAGGAGAGAGCUUGCUCUCUUGCUGACGAGUGGCGGACGGGUGAGUAACGCGUAGGAAUCUGCCUAGUAGUGGGGGACAACUCGGGGAAACUCGAGCUAAUACCGCAUACGCCCUACGGGGGAAAGCGGGGGAUCCUCGGACCCCGCGCUAUUAGAUGAGCCUGCGUUGGAUUAGCUUGUUGGUGAGGUAAUGGCUCACCAAGGCGACGAUCCAUAGCUGGUCUGAGAGGACGAUCAGCCACACUGGGACUGAAACACGGCCCAGACUCCUACGGGAGGCAGCAGUGGGGAAUAUUGGACAAUGGGGGCAACCCUGAUCCAGCAAUACCGCGUGUGUGAAGAAGGCCUGCGGGUUGUAAAGCACUUUCAAUUGGGAAGAAAAGCUUGGGGAUAAUACCCCCGAGUCUUGACGUUACCUUUAGAAGAAGCACCGGCUAACUCCGUGCCAGCAGCCGCGGUAAUACGGAGGGUGCAAGCGUUAAUCGGAAUUACUGGGCGUAAAGCGCGCGUAGGUGGUUUAGUAAGUCAGAUGUGAAAGCCCUGGGCUCAACCUGGGAACUGCAUUUGAUACUGCUUGACUAGAGUAUGGUAGAGGGAAGUGGAAUUCCGGGUGUAGCGGUGAAAUGCGUAGAUAUCCGGAGGAACAUCAGUGACGAAGGCGACUUCCUGGACCAAUACUGACACUGAGGUGCGAAAGCGUGGGUAGCAAACAGGAUUAGAUACCCUGGUAGUCCACGCCGUAAACGAUGUCAACUAGCCGUUGGACUCAUUAUAAGGGUUUAGUGGCGAAGCUAACGCGAUAAGUUGACCGCCUGGGGAGUACGGCCGCAAGGUUAAAACCCAAAGGAAUUGACGGGGGCCCGCACAAGCGGUGGAGCAUGUGGUUUAAUUCGAUGCAACGCGAAGAACCUUACCAGCCCUUGACAUCCUCGGAACUUACUAGAGAUAGUUUGGUGCCUUCGGGAGCCGAGUGACAGGUGCUGCAUGGCUGUCGUCAGCUCGUGUCGUGAGAUGUUGGGUUAAGUCCCGUAACGAGUGCAACCCUUGUCCUUAGUUGCCAGCACAUAAUGGUGGGAACUCUAGGGAGACUGCCGGUGACAAACCGGAGGAAGGUGGGGAUGACGUCAAGUCAUCAUGGCCCUUAUGGGCUGGGCUACACACGUGCUACAAUGGCCGGUACAGAGGGCAGCCAACCCGCGAGGGGGAGCCAAUCUCAGAAAACCGGUCGUAGUCCGGAUUGCAGUCUGCAACUCGACUGCAUGAAGUCGGAAUCGCUAGUAAUCGCGAAUCAGCAUGUCGCGGUGAAUACGUUCCCGGGCCUUGUACACACCGCCCGUCACACCAUGGGAGUGGGUUGCAAAAGAAGUAGGUAGCUUAACCUUCGGGAGGGCGCUUACCACUUUGUGAUUCAUGACUGGGGUGAAGUCGUAACAAGGUA